UGACCUUAAUAAGACAGCCAUCUGCAUAGUGUGCUGCAGCUGCUCCAGACUCUUGUCUUAGACUCUCUUUUGUCAUUGCCCAUGCUGCUCCCCUACCUGGAAUGCCAGGAAUUUCAGAUUUCAACUUCUGUAUUACUUUCUCUGAAUAUAUUUCUCAAGCCACUUAUCUCACCCUCAUUGCCCAUGGAGGCCAUUUCAGAGUGAUUUCUGUAUGGUCAUGAAAUGGGGCAAACCCAAGAGAUUUAGGGUGACCUAUUUGGUGGUUCCUCACCCACAUACUUAUAGCUUCAGGGCAUGACUCUAAAGCAGCCACAUGGGGAGAAAAAAAAAACAACAACAGGAUUUAUACAGGGAGUAAGGAAAGAGGGGAGCAGGGAGAGGGAGGAAGGGAGGAGAAGAGAGAGAGAGAACAAGCAAACUGCCAGUAUGUGACCAGAUGCAGUCCAUCCUACUCCAGAUAGUGUCUGCUGAGCAGAGACUAAGGUCCAAGUUGAAACCACACCUGGAAACUGGCAACUUCUCCACAGACACCCCUCCUUACAAGUGGUUUAGCUGCUGAAGUUCCAACCUUUCAACUGCCCAAAUGUCAUUUUAACUGCCAACCCUGCAGCAGUUUAACUGCCAAAGCCCUAGUGGUUUAGUGGUCAAAGCCCCAGCUCUGCCCCAAUUUCCCAUCAGCCCCUGCCCAGGGAAUAGAGUCUGGAAAGCUCUAGCUUUGACCAUCUAAUUGUCUGAUAAGCACCACACACUGGCUUGGAGUUUGCUUUUCUCUGUUCCUUUUUCUGUCUGAUGUCUCCUCUACACACCUCUCUUGUUAGUCUCAUCAGCCAUAAAUUAUAGUGCCUGUUUGUUGGUUUCUCUCUGCACUGUGAGCUCCUUGAGGAUAGACACCAUGCAUUAGUCACCUGUGGAUCCAUCCCCAGACUCUGAAAUAGUGCCUGGUGCAGAAUUUUAUAUGUAGUAAAUGAAAAAGUAAGCCCACUGGAUACCCUGUCUUUUGCUGGCAUUUAGGAUAAAGAGAAGCCUAAUAAAUCACACAUCAAGCAACCCUACCAAUAUUGAAUUAUGAGAUCAUAGUAUAACUUUUACAGAUAAGUCACCAUGCUAACGUCACACAGUCAAUCUUGUUUAGAAGUGUGUCUUUAGGAUGUCAGCUGCCGAUUUGGAGCUUCUGCCUCUGCUUUUUUUCUGAGCAAUUUGGUUUCGUCUUCAACUAAUGGAAUCGAGCAAUGUUUGGCUAACAAUAUGGAGAACCUCCCUCCCUCAUUAAAAGUUGACAUGAAAUCUUAAAAUAGGUUUCCUGCUUUUUGUUCCUAAGGCUAUGUGAUAUUACCAUACUUCUAAUUCUCCCUUUUUCUUAAAUUAUUGUCUUCUUCCUCUUUGCUCUGUACAAUUCUUUGACCAUCUAUCUCCAUCUCAGAGUCAUUAUCUUUUGCCCUAAGCAAAAAGAAAGAGGUACUUGUUUUUGCUUCUAAACUUGAUGUACAGUUCAUGCUUUAUCUUUUACUUCUCACUUUACUCCUGUAGUAGGUUUUUCUGUUGUUAUUGUUCCUCCGGCAUUUUUGUGCGUUAAUGAUCCUUGAAUCUUAUUUUGCUGAUCAUCAAUCUAUAAAAGAGAAAGAGACUGUUAUAAG